GAGGGGGAGGCAGUGAUGGGGAGAAAGAAGGGGCCUGGGCUGAGGGGAGGGCCCAGCCUGGGCCAUGAGGGCCUCCCUGAGCUGAGCCUUCUGUGGCUGCUCCUGAGGGCCCUGGGCACUGGCAGGCCAUGGCCACAUGUGUCGACAGGCAGAAGGGUCUAGAAGAGCUGCCAGGGAGGGGUCAAGUGGAUUCGGUGGGGUCCCUGGGAGAGUAAUACCUGAGUCCCCACCGCCAGCCCCUGCCUAGGGGAGCUGUGGGGUCCCCUGGGCUGGGACUUCCUGCAAGGUCUUCCGGCCUCGCUCUGAGUCAGGAGCCAGCAGGAAGCGGUCCUGAGGGUUUGCCCACUGGGCCUCACGGCCUGCCCUGAGGAACUGGACGAUGGGCCUCUCCCUCUGCAGGCUCAGGAGGGCCGUCUCGGGCAGUGCUGUGGGAGCUCAGACAAGAAGCACCGCUCCUAGUUUUCUUCAAGGCCAACCCCGACCUGGAGAACCACCUUCUCGUCUCCUUGGCAACUCCCCCUCACGCCUCAGAACCACGGCAGCUCAGGGCCUGGGCGAGGCCGCCAUGUGGGGCGGCUGGAAAAGCCGGUUCUCUGGGGCCGCCUGCCCCUGGCCAGCCUGUGCUAACAGGCGAAGACAGAGGCGGGAAACAAAUGGCCUGUCAAGAUUCCUAAUUAAGGUACCGCGUAAGUGAUGGCUCUCUGCUCGGACCAAGGAGAACCAGCCAACACCAGCUGCUGCAGGACCAGCCCAUUUGCUCUGGCCAGAGGAGGAGAUUCGCAGCACUGAGUUCAGUGUCCUGCUAGGAAACAGGAGCUUUUCAACCACAAAGGAAGGAGAGAGAAGCCCCACCAGAGGCAGGAUGAGACCCUGGCUCCCACUUUCUCCCCCUCUAGGGGUGCCCCCUCUGCCCUGGGGACCAGGGUCCCGCCCAGCCCAGCUCAGCCCAGCCCCAGCUGGGAGAGGGGUCAGUGUGGCCACCCUGGGCCCCCGAAACAAUUCUGGGGACUUAUGGCUUUGUCUUGCAUUUUCUGUUCUUUAUAUAAAUCACGUUUUAAUGAAAUAAAGUAUCAUAAAAGCUGCUCAUUACAGAAAAUAUGAACAUACAAAAAGAAGUUUCCAUUUGGGGGAGAAAUGGAGAAGAGAGUACAGAAGUGGAGGACAGGGGUGGAAGGCCAUGGAAUGUUCUGUUUGUCUUCCAGGACACAUCCCGCUGGCUGACAGGUGGGUUGAGUGUACCAGGGCCUGCCCUGGGGGCUCUCCAUGGGGCCCAGGGACAGCGCAUGGACAUCAGGGAGGGGCAGAUGGGUGCUCAGACCCCUGGCCUUCCCCCCCCCCCCCCCCCGGGCUCUCUGGCACACCCCGCCCUGCUGGCCCC